CACGGAGACAGUGACUUUACGUGAGCCAUCGCUACACAGUUACUUAGUACAUAGAGACUUCUCUCCAGCUUUACCAAUCCGACUCUCGUAAAUUCUCUCAGAAGCGGAAGGUGGCCCACUACAUAACACGUGGGGUUUCUUCAACCAAAGUCAAGAGGACCAGUUAAAUAAGAAAUUACUUUUGCUGGAGUAUCUUAUUUAUUUCUUACAGCUCACCUGCCAGGAGAUGUGGAAGAACAUUUGUCCUGUAAAGUUGAAGGAAGAAAAAAGGGACAUCUUUGCUUUCAGAGAAAUGAAGACUGCAGUUGGGAACUGGUAACUAAUAUCAUUAAACAACCUUGGGAAAAAGCAUUGAAGAGAAAUAAGAUGGUAUCAUGCACCAACAUCCACACCCUUUAGGAGAGUUUCUGGUGGAAUGAUCCACGGUCUCGUUGCAGAGAUGGGAGGAGGACCAUGCAGAGGAAAACAACUCACCAUACUAGAAAAAGAAAAAGAAAAUGCCUGAGGGUCAGCAGAUGUUGAAGGAGGAAUAAUCAAGAUCUUUCAGCCAAAUUGCUUAAGAACAACAGAUGACUGGAACUGCACGUCUUUCUUCAAACACUGUCUACUGCAGAAUGGAAACAGGAACCUCUGGGAAUAUCUGUGAGUCAUAAAAUGUUGUAGAAAAUGUUCCAAAGCCAUUUUCUUGCUAGGAUGGAGAGUUCUAAUCUCUUACUGGCAGGCUCUGUUGGCUACAAGGUACAUUGUUUACUUUGAUUCUUUCUCAGCUGUUCUUCAUGAUCUUGGAUCAUCAUGUUUUUGAUAUAUUGGAGCAGGAGAGUUGCAUAAUACAAUUGUAACCUCUUCUGCUCUUGUAUUCUCUUAAAAUAGACAAAAAUCUUGAUUCUAACCUAUGCUUCUUUCAUGGGCAUAUUAAUUUAGUUGUCUUUAAAGGGAAUAUAGUACCAGUAAUUGAAGACAUAUGUUUUCAUUCAAUUAAAAAAAAGAUGUCAAAAAACAUUUCAAAAAGCUAUCAGAGAUAUUUCUGAAUGUGUUGCUCAUUUAAUCUGGUUUAAAUAUUAGUGCUUGAAUUAUGCAAAGUCCACACACAAAGACAUAUUUUACAAACAUUGUAUUAAUAUUAAGAAUGGAUUUAAAAACAGGCCUUUGGUCUCACAAGGGUAGAAACAUCUCUAAGGCUCUCCAUUUUCCAAGAAAAAUAUGAUGAGUAAAAAAUUGUGAGUUGGUAAAUUGGUAGUAAAUUCAUGUACAUAUACAUGAAAUGUAAAUAAAGUUAAAAAGCUAGUAUCAAGGU